GUGCUAGCUUCAGCAGCACAUAUACUAAAAUUGGAACAAUACAGAGAAGAUAAGCAUGGUCCCUGUGCAAGAAUGGCAUGCAAAUUCAUGAGGUGUUCCAUAUAUUU
ensembl:snRNA U6 U6 spliceosomal RNA